rnacentral:rRNA from 1 species
AUUGAACGCUGGCGGCAGGCCUAACACAUGCAAGUCGAGCGGCAGCGGGAAAGUAGCUUGCUACUUUUGCCGGCGAGCGGCGGACGGGUGAGUAAUGCCUGGGAAAUUGCCCAGUCGAGGGGGAUAACAGUUGGAAACGACUGCUAAUACCGCAUACGCCCUACGGGGGAUAGCAGGGGACCUUCGGGCCUUGCGCGAUUGGAUAUGCCCAGGUGGGAUUAGCUAGUUGGUGAGGUAAUGGCUCACCAAGGCGACGAUCCCUAGCUGGUCUGAGAGGAUGAUCAGCCACCCUGGAACUGAGACACGGUCCAGACUCCUACGGGAGGCAGCAGUGGGGAAUAUUGCACAAUGGGGGAAACCCUGAUGCAGCCAUGCCGCGUGUGUGAAGAAGGCUUUCGGGUUGUAAAGCACUUUCAGCGAGGAGGAAAGGUUGAUGCCUAAUACGUAUCAACUGUGACGUUACUCGCAGAAGAAGCACCGGCUAACUCCGUGCCAGCCGCCGCAGUAACAC